UACAGAGGUGGCAAGCGUUGUUCGGAAUUACUGGGCGUAAAGGGCGCGUAGGCGGCCAUCUAAGUCAGACGUGAAAUCCCCCGGCUUAACCUGGGAACUGCGUCUGAUACUGGACGGCUAGAGUAUGGGAGAGGGAUGUAGAAUUCCAGGUGUAGCGGUGAAAUGCGUAGAUAUUGGGAGGAACACCGGUGGCGAAGGCGGCCCCCUGGACCGGUACUGACGCUGAGGCGCGAAAGCGUGGGUAGCAAACGGG
rnacentral:rRNA from 1 species